AUUUAUUAUUAUUUUAUCUCUAGUUUUGGAAUAUCGAAUCUUGCUGCUACUAUUGUUUGUAGGUUGUGUAAAUUUUUAGCAAUUUGUUUGUUCUACCAUAAAGUAUAACUGUAGGAAAGGGUACGCAGGCUUCUAAAAGUGAAGAACAACUCUAACUUCUUUGGUAAGCGGAAAAGGUACUGCAAAGAAAAGCGUCACAUGACCGUUUUAAGAAUGGACUCUUUCGUUUGUUUUGCCCAAUGAACCUGUGCUUGGAACUGGCAGGUUUGUUUAGCAGUGGUAGACUUUGUUCUUAAACCCAGAUGUGUUCUUCACUUUUCAGGGGGAUGGAUUGAUGAUACUUGUUGGUUAAACCAUGAAGAAUACGAAUAGAUGGGUAAGUGGAGGGUUAUAAAAGUAUAAAACUGUAAUUCCUCAUGGCAUUUUCUUUCACGCAUGCGCGAUGUUCGUGAGCAGACGAACGAGAAAGAGCCUCUAGCUGCAUCCAGGCAGAAACUAGUAGUUUCUGAAACAUUGUUUUGACAAAUACUGUUGCAGGUUGCAGGUUUUCAUUAAAUACCAAGCUAUCGGGAACUUCGCGAACACCGGGAACCUCGCAAACACUGGAAACCGUUGAGUUAUUAAAACGCUGGCGCUCAUCAACACCGGAGCGUACUGUCAAUUUGUCCAGCGGCAAGCCAUCUAUGGAGCUUCAGCCAUGGUACUGACAGCAGACAGCUGAUUCAUUUGGCAUGGCGUCGUUGACGAGAAUGGUAGACAUUGGAGGUUGUUUUCAUUGAAAUUUCUCCUUUGAUUUCCUGCAAUUUCAGGAUAUACAUAAUAUGCUGCGUUGGCCCAUUAGAUCCAUCCAUGACAAAAGGAAUGUCACAUAAAUUUCAGGUGGAAGGUGGAACAGAGAAAUUGUUUCAAUGUAAAUAAAAUAUAUCCAAUAUCA